AUUGAACGCUGGCGGCAUGCCUUACACAUGCAAGUCGAACGGCAGCACGGGGGCAACCCUGGUGGCGAGUGGCGAACGGGUGAGUAAUGCAUCGGAACGUGUCCUCUUGUGGGGGAUAACCAGUCGAAAGACUGGCUAAUACCGCAUGAGAUCGAGAGAUGAAAGCGGGGGACCGUAAGGCCUCGCGCGAGAGGAGCGGCCGAUGCCCGAUUAGCUAGUUGGCGGGGUAAAAGCCCACCAAGGCGACGAUCGGUAGCUGGUUUGAGAGGACGACCAGCCACCCUGGGACUGAGACACGGCCCAGACUCCUACGGGAGGCAGCAGUGGGGAAUUUUGGACAAUGGGGGAAACCCUGAUCCAGCCAUGCCGCGUGUGUGAAGAAGGCCUUCGGGUUGUAAAGCACUUUCGGACGGAACGAAAUCGCGCGGGUGAACACCUCGCGUGGAUGACGGUACCGUAAGAAGAAGCACCGGCUAACUACGUG
rnacentral:rRNA from 1 species